rnacentral:lncRNA from 10 species
GGAGAAUUUACCAGGAUGUGAAGAUAAAGUGACAUUAACUCAAAUGGCAUCACCAGCUGGGAGGCAACACAUAGGACCUCAAGACCAAGAGAGAUGGAAAGACUCUGAAGACAAGCCUUCAAAAGGCAAACCCAACAGGAAAAACGGGAUUCAGGACAGCAGGCUCAGGUACAAAAGGCAUCAAACAUGGAGAGCCCGUGUUGAGAUGGUGGAACUACAAGAUGAAAGCAGCCUGAAUCUCUGGUUCAACUGAUAGCAGAGAGCCUAUGCCAACCCAUGUCUGUUUUUUUCAUGUGCAAAAUAAAUAAAUAUUUAUUGUUAUAAGCCAUUCAGAUUUCAAAUUUUCUCUGUUU